UGCUGAAGGCACAACCAGAAAAAAAAAAAAUGAACUCUAAUUUUUCUUUCCAUUAUUUCAAAUGAUGACACUUAACUUGAAAAUGCAUUUUCAUACAGAUGAUCUCUCUUUUUUUUUAUGGCCAAACGCACAGCAUAUAGAAACUCCCCAGCCAGGAGUGAAUACAAGCCACGGCUGCAGUCUACGCCACCGCUGCGGCAAAGCCAGAUGCUUUAACCCACACUGCUUGCACCUCCACAGCAACCCAAGCCCCUGCAGUUAGGUUCUCAACCCACUGCACCACUUCGGGAACUCCUGGAUGAUCUCUUUCCUCCUUGGCCACAUGGUGGAGGAGAAGAGCAUGUGGUUUUCUGUCUUUUCAGGACUGUGAGUUCACACAAAGCAUUCAUUUCCACAGUGGCAUUGCUCCCUUCCCCCCUCCUCGACCUCAUUCCUUCCUCCCUCCUCUUUAGACAGUAUUAUCAUCAUUAUAAUUUCUACUAACUCACUUUACAGGUGAGAAAAUUGAGGUCUGGGAAAGCUCAUGUAGUUUCUCAGGUCACAGGACUGUUCAGUGGCUUGGACCAGAUUUUUCUGAUUUCUUCCCCAUGCUUUUCCCAUUAUGCCAGCUAAUAGGUUGUCAGUAGGUAUUUGUUGACUGAAUGUAUGAAGUAUGUGUGACAAUGCCAUGUCCUUAACCCACUGGGCCACAAGAGAACUCUGCAAUUUCUAAUUGUGUAGAACUAUUCUGCAAUUAUAUUUUACAUUCAUAUUAUGCAAUGGACCAUUACAAAUUAAUAAGUGCAUUGAAACACAAAUACAUAACAAUCACAAAUUGCUCAUGUUUGGUACCUUUUUGACUGUCAGAUCUACCCACUGGAAAAUAAGGAUAAUAUUAGUACUUCCUUCACAUGCACUCAAGAAAUGAGAGAUAUUAUUAUAAGCCAAUCUCAAAAAUCACACUGAUUUUAAUGUACUCUGGUGUUAAAAAAUUUGUUUGCAGAGUUCCCGUUGUGCAGUGGCAACAAAUCCCACUAGUAACCAUGAGCCACGAUGGGAACUCCUCAUGUAUGCUUAAGACAGUCACCAAGAGUUCCUUGACAUCAAACUUUUAGCCUAGAAAGAGCUAGCUUUUUU
rnacentral:lncRNA from 1 species